AACGAACGCUGGCGGCAGGCUUAACACAUGCAAGUCGAACGGUUGUAGCAAUACAUCAGUGGCAGACGGGUGAGUAACACGUGGGAACCUUCCUAGGGGUACGGAACAACUCAGGGAAACUUGAGCUAAUACCGUAUACGUCCGUGAGGAGAAAGAUUUAUCGCCCUUAGACGGGCCCGCGUCGGAUUAGCUAGUUGGUGGGGUAACGGCCUACCAAGGCGACGAACCGUAGCUGAUCUUAGAGGAUGAUCAGCCACACUGGGACUGAGACACGGCCCAGACUCCUGCGGGAGGCAGCAGUGGGGAAUCUUGGACAGUGGGCGCAAGCCUGAUCCAGCCAUGCCGCGUGAGUGAAGAAGGUCUUCGGAUUGUAAAGCUCUUUUGCCAGGGACGAUAAUGACGGUACCUGGAGAAUAAGCCCCGGCAAACUUCGUGCCAGCAGCCGCUGUAA
rnacentral:rRNA from 1 species